GAUGAACGCUGGCGGCGUGCCUAAUACAUGCAAGUCGAGCGAACAGACGAGGAGCUUGCUCCUCUGACGUUAGCGGCGGACGGGUGAGUAACACGUGUAUAACCUACCUAUAAGACUGGGAUAACUUCGGGAAACCGGAGCUAAUACCGGAUAAUAUAUUGAACCGCAUGGUUCAAUAGUGAAAGACGGUUUUGCUGUCACUUAUAGAUGGAUCCGCGCCGCAUUAGCUAGUUGGUAAGGUAACGGCUUACCAAGGCAACGAUGCGUAGCCGACCUGAGAGGGUGAUCGGCCACACUGGAACGGAGACACGGUCAAGACUCCUACGGGAGGCAGCAGUAGGGAAUCUUACGCAGUGGGCGAAAGCCUGACGGAGCAACGCCGCGUGAGUGAUGACGGUCUUCGGAUCGUAAAACUCUGUUAUUAGGGAAGAACAAAUGUGUAAGUAACUAUGCACGUAUUGACGGUACCUAAUCAGAAAGCCACGGCUAACUACGUG
rnacentral:rRNA from 1 species